rnacentral:rRNA from 1 species
UGGGGAAUUUUGGACAAUGGGCGCAAGCCUGAUCCAGCCAUGCCGCGUGAGUGAAGAAGGCCUUCGGGUUGUAAAGCUCUUUCGGCCGGAACGAAAUCGCGCCCCCUAAUACGGGGUGUGGAUGACGGUACCGGAAGAAGAAGCACCGGCUAACUACGUGCCAGCAGCCGCGGUAAUACGUAGGGUGCGAGCGUUAAUCGGAAUUACUGGGCGUAAAGCGUGCGCAGGCGGCGCGCCAAGUCAGAUGUGAAAGCCCCGGGCUUAACCUGGGAAUUGCGUUUGAAACUGGCGGGCUGGAGUGUGGCAGAGGGAGGUGGAAUUCCACGUGUAGCAGUGAAAUGCGUAGAGAUGUGGAGGAACACCGAUGGCGAAGGCAGCCUCCUGGGCCAACACUGACGCU